CAGUCGCCACGGUAAAACGAAGGGGGCUAGCGUUGUUCGGAAUUACUGGGCGUAAAGCGCGUGUAGGCGGGUCCUUAAGUCAGGGGUGAAAUGCCGAGGCUCAACCUCGGAACUGCCUUUGAUACUGGGGAUCUUGAGUCCGGGAGGGGUGAGUGGAACUGCGAGUGUAGAGGUGAAAUUCGUAGAUAUUCGCGAGAACACCAGUGGCGAAGGCGGCUCACUGGCCCGGAACUGACGCUGAGACGCGAAAGCGUGGGGAGCAAACAGGAUUAGAGACCCCAGUAGUCCCUGUCUCUUAUAC
rnacentral:rRNA from 1 species